rnacentral:rRNA from 1 species
UACGUAGGGUGCGAGCGUUGUCCGGAAUUAUUGGGCGUAAAGGGCUCGUAGGCGGUUUGUCGCGUCGGGAGUGAAAACCUCGGGCUUAACUCGGGGCUUGCUUUCGAUACGGGCAGACUAGAGGUAUGCAGGGGAGAACGGAAUUCCUGGUGUAGCGGUGAAAUGCGCAGAUAUCAGGAAGAACACCCGUGGCGAAGGCGGUUCUCUGGGACGGUACUGACGCUGAGACGCGAAAGCGUGGGGAGCGAACGGG